ACUAUUACUGUAACGGUCACGUUACUAACUUAACUCUUUAAUUAUUUUUAUAAUUAUUUUCCUUCGCUCUCCCAUUUAAAUUCUCUAAUUCCUCGUAUAGGACCACUGACGUGACGUCAUACCUCGGUGAUGGAACAUACUCCACCUAUCGAGAAUUAUUUCGCGUUCGGUGAGUUUGACGUCGUACUCUUGGAAGGAGAGACGAAUGUUCAUCACUUGACCUGUGGCUGUAGGUGAAGUUGGUUGCUACCAUAGAAUAUUAGAAUGGCGGUUGGUUUUUUUUUAUUUUAUAACAUCAGUGAAAAGAAAAAAAAUUACCACAAAUGGUUUUCUACAGUAGGGUGGCAUGUGGGUAGAACAACCCCUCUUGGAAUCGGAAUAGAAAUCACCGCCAUUUUGGAGUAACCACAUGGUGAACUCAUAGCCCUUUGACACCUAGGGAAACCACUACAGCCACAGUCAAGUCACCUUGGGAAUAUGUCUAAUUGGGAGCAAGCUAUGGGAGCGUUCCAGCUCAAUUUUCGUCUUGGCACCUGGGCCUACAGGAGUCAUGGGGUCGCACCAUCCUGGUGCAUCAUUUUCUAGGAUGCAACCGCAACCUCGUUUGGGAACAUUUAGUGAGGUGUUUUAGUAACUAUUGGUUUUUUUUAUAUUUCAGACUAUCUGUUAAAUACACUAUGUUUUUUUCCAGAUUUAGGUUACCUCUGGUUUUUUUGACAUAUUUGUAUAUUAGAUUAUUUGGUUCCCAAACUUUGUAUCUACGGUAACUUCUUGUGCACAGGAAUAAGCCUAGAGAAAAUUAGGUUUUUAAUACUUUAUUAUUGCUUUGAUAUUGGUUUAUGUAAUUCGGGUAAAUUUAUUUUUUAAUAUUACUAGCUUGUUUCCCAAAUAUUUUACUGUUAUUCGCUUUAUUCCAUUUGUUCGGUUAAUUUAGGUCAUCGUCGGUAUUUAUCUCAACUUCAUUUCUACUUUAGUCAAUUGUAUAUUUAACUUUAUUUAUUCAUUACUGUAUUUUCCCUUAGUGAGGCUUGGGCCUAUUUAUUUGUAGUAUUUUCAUCUUUGUCAGUUUCCUUUAGUUGUACGUAGCAGGCGUACUAUAACCAUUUGGUAGAAGACUUAUGUAAUUUUGUACCCUAUAUGUUAGUGAAAGGUACUUAUACCUGUAAUUUUGUAACAGGUAACAUUGUUGUUAUCUUAGAGAUGACUUUUUGUAUAACUUAUGUCAUUUUAGAGUAACAUGAUAUACACUUUGUGUAACUCAGAGAUUGUCAAAAAUCUAGUAGUUAUUUUUAAUAAAUAUGUAUUUAUUUUGUA
rnacentral:lncRNA from 1 species